GGUACCAUAGAGUAGUGGUUAGCACAUCUGCUUUACACGUAGAAGGUACUGGGUUCACACCCAGUGGAGCCA
rnacentral:tRNA from 1 species